rnacentral:lncRNA from 1 species
UAAUCUUAAUCGUAAUCAAAAUUAUAAAUCUUCACCCUAACAUCUUUAUCUUUAUCUAAUAUAAAAAUAAAACAAAAUCCUAACCUAAUGCUAUUUAAAUAAAGCAUCCCAGUGGGUUAUAAAUACAAAUCAGGUUGAUGGGAAAGACAUACCAGACGAGAAACAAUCAAUAAAGCAUUAGAUCCCCAGUUUGUUGUUGAUCAUGGAACCCGGACUGAUCGUCUUCAUCGUCUCCAUCAGCGUUAUAUGCUCUAUAUUAGUUAUAUAUAUGAUAUACGACUGCAUAACGAUCACGAAGAGUCGUCGAGUAGGUCUUGAAUCCCGUGCGAGUGGACAGGAAGUGCAAUAUGACGACGAGCUUGGUCUCGCUCAUCAACCAAAACCCACCCAAUGAUUGAUUGAUUAUAUAUCACUUUUGCUAUUAGGGUUUCUCAUCUCGAGUUUGUUUUGUUUCAUUAGUUUUUUUCUUCUUUUCAUUGUGUGUUAUUAUUUUACUUAAUUGAGAGAUUAUCGUUCUACUUAAAGAAAACAUGUGUUUUUCUGUGCUUUCCCCCCAACACAUGAACAAAGAUUGAACUAUGAAGGAAUGGCAUCUUAAAUUUGCAUUGUUCUAGU